rnacentral:lncRNA from 1 species
ACUUGUGUGAUUUGUGUGUUGCUUAUGGUGCAAUGCCUGUUUUGGAAGAAGUAUUGUCAUCAAGAAUGUCUUCAGCGGCAUCAGAAGAUGUGUCUGUGAAUCAGCAUACAGUGGCCGCACUUGCUCGCAUCUGUACCUAUUGUGAAACUCAUAAGCAUUUUAAUUUUCUAUACAAUUUCCAGGUACGGUAUAUUUCCUUGAACUCUACCGUCUUUUACAUCUAAUAUCUAAAGAAGCAAGUAGACAACAUAGACUAUUUAAUUUGAUGAAUGUAUCUGAUGCAAGAGUUAUUUUGCAUGAUGAGAAAAGCUGGAAAUAAUAGGUUUAUGAUCUCUAUGAAGGAUAAGAUUAACUUCAAUAGUUUAAAAAGAACCAGCAAGAGGUCCCGUUUUUAUAUGUAUGUAGCUGACAUCAUGAUAUGUAUCUGUCUGGUUAAGUACAUGUCAGCAUAAGUCAAAGUUGCCAAGAUUUUUUACAUCAUCAAAUAUGGGCAACCACCCCUCUCAACCUCAGCUAUAAUUAAACUAGUCUAAGUGUCUAACCUUACAUUUUCUGCUUAUCAAUAAUAUCCUGUAAGAAAAAGUUUAGUUUUCUUAGGGUUCUGUUUGGAGGUGCUUCAGUACACAACAAGAGUGCAUACUGCAUAAACUCCAAAAGGAGAUCUUUUGAGCUGGUAAAUCGACAAUGAAGAGGAAAAUUAUAAAACGCUAUGUAGAAGAGUUUUCAAAAGAAAUUUAGUUUAAACAGAUAUGAUAAGUCAUCUUGUUAUAAACAUUUCAAAAACCUUAGCUUAAUCUUUUGCUAAUAUUGUAAAUUCUGACCAUCAUAAAAUGAUAAUUGGUUUUCAAUAUUUUGUUUAAAAUUUACUAUAAAUACAAAGGGUUUAGUUUUUUGCCAGGGCUUUGAACUAGUUUAGUAUAUGCACAUUACCUGCCGUAAAACCCUAACUAAUACUUAAGUUCUGCUGCAGAACCCUACCUAAUACUAGAAAUAAGGUAAGGGUUCUAUGGUUCUCUCUCUAAUGGUUCUCUCUUGAACAUGACCCAUAUUUACUACUCCAUUUAUGUUACUAAGUGCUAGUGGUGGUUAUCUAUUAAGAUCUUCAUCAUAGCACCAUAAUUAUGCGAGGUUGUAACUUCUUAUACUUCUACUUUGCAGUAUGCACGACAGCAUUUGCUUAGCUUUAUGUUCAAACAUGGGCACUUCAAAGAUGCUUGCUUCUUGUUCUUUCCUCCGAAUGCUGUUCCUUCUCCUCCCCAACCAUCAUCACUUGGCUUGGUUACUUCAUCAUCUUCCCCUCAGAGACCAGACCCUUUGGCUACUGAUUAUGGAAUUAUUGAUGACUUGUGUGAUUUGUGUGUUGCUUAUGGUGCAAUGCCUGUUUUGGAAGAAGUAUUGUCAUCAAGAAUGUCUUCAGCGGCAUCAGAAGAUGUGUCUGUGAAUCAGCAUACAGUGGCCGCACUUGCUCGCAUCUGUACCUAUUGUGAAACUCAUAAGCAUUUUAAUUUUCUAUACAAUUUCCAGGUACGGUAUAUUUCCUUGAACUCUACCGUCUUUUACAUCUAAUAUCUAAAGAAGCAAGUAGACAACAUAGACUAUUUAAUUUGAUGAAUGUAUCUGAUGCAAGAGUUAUUUUGCAUGAUGAGAAAAGCUGGAAAUAAUAGGUUUAUGAUCUCUAUGAA